UGGGGAAUAUUGCACAAUGGGGGAAACCCUGAUGCAGCAACGCCGCGUGAGUGAAGAAGUAUUUCGGUAUGUAAAGCUCUAUCAGCAGGGAAGAAAAUGACGGUACCUGAGUAAGAAGCCCCGGCUAACUACGUGCCAGCAGCCGCGGUAAUACGUAGGGGGCAAGCGUUAUCCGGAUUUACUGGGUGUAAAGGGAGCGUAGACGGCGAUGCAAGUCUGAAGUGAAAGCCCGGGGCUCAACCCCGGGACUGCUUUGGAAACUGUAUGGCUGGAGUGCUGGAGAGGCAAGCGGAAUUCCUAGUG
rnacentral:rRNA from 1 species